rnacentral:rRNA from 1 species
GAUUAGCGCUGGCGGUAUGCAUAACACAUGCAAGUCGAGCGAGAAAGUUCCUUCGGGAGCGAGUAAAGCGGCGAACGGGUGAGUAACACGUUGGAACCUGUCUCUAACUCAGGGAUAGCCCACUGAAAAGUGGAUUAAUACCGGAUAGUCCCUUCGGGGUAAAGAUUUUUCGGUUAGAGAGGGGCCUGCGGCCUAUCAGCUAGUUGGUAAGGUAACUGCUUACCAAGGCUAUGACGGGUAGCUGGUCUGAGAGGAUGACCAGUCACAAUGGGACUGAGACACGGCCCAUACUCCUACGGGAGGCAGCAGUGAGGAAUUUUGCGCAAUGGGGGAAACCCUGACGCAGCAAUACCGCGUGGAGGAUGAAAGCCCUUGGGUUGUAAACUCCUUUUCUGUGGGAAGAAUU